GAUGAACGCUGGCGGCGUGCCUAAUACAUGCAAGUCGAGCGAACAGACGAGGAGCUUGCUCCUCUGACGUUAGCGGCGGACGGGUGAGUAACACGUGGAUAACCUACCUAUAAGACUGGGAUAACUUCGGGAAACCGGAGCUAAUACCGGAUAAUAUAUUGAACCGCAUGGUUCAAUAGUGAAAGACGGUUUUGCUGUCACUUAUAGAUGGAUCCGCGCCGCAUUAGCUAGUUGGUAAGGUAACGGCUUACCAAGGCAACGAUGCGUAGCCGACCUGAGAGGGGGAUCGGCCACACUGGAACGGAGCCACGGUCCAGACUCCUACGGGAGGCAGCAGUGGGGAAUCUUCGGCAAUGGGCGAAAGCCUGACGGAGCAACGCCGCGGGGGUGAUGAAGGUCUUCGAUUCGUAAAACUCUGUUAUUGGGGAAGAACAAAUGUGUAAGUAACAAUGAACGUCUUGACGGUACCAAAUCGGAAAGCCACGGCUAACUACGU
rnacentral:rRNA from 1 species